GGACAGCGCAGCUCUGCGCCCUUCAGUGCAACCGGUGGCACUUUGUUUUUCACAGAUCCUUGGAGGUACUGCAAACCACACAGGUGUUACUCUGCUUUUUGUUUCUUUUGUUCUUCAAGCAGUAGGAAGGUCCUUCAAAGAGACUCAAUCUCCUUCAAUUAGAUUCAAGGCUAUUUUUUCAGUGAUUGUUAUGCUCUCAAGAGAAAACUUCAAAAUGACUUCUACCUGGGCUUUAAGUACUGGCAAGGAUUGCAGAAAGAAUGGAGAAAGCUUUAUGAUGCUCAAGAAUUGCACCUACGUUCAACAAAAACUCUUCAUGCAAUCCCAUCUGAAAUAUCUUCAUGGCCUGUAUCAUGUAUUUUGCACAACAAACAAACAACAUGCAGAAGCAAUUUCAAAUGUUAAUGUAAGACUUCAAUUGUUGGAGACAUUAGAUGUGAUUUUGGAUUCACUCUCAUUUAUUUUACGCAAAGUGUCACAUGGAGAAUUCUUGAAUUAGCUCAGUGCAUUUCAGUCCUAUCAGUUUGUUGUACUCUCCAAAGUUCAGUCAUGAUCUUCAGUAUCAGGGAGAAAUAUCAGUAAACCGAAGCAAGAGACUUUUUCCAUUAUUUUGGGACUGUGAAGAGAAAUGAAUGACAUAUUCAUCCAGGAUCUGUGUAGGAAGUGGAGGACAUCCUUGCCGCAUGCCAGCUCCUCUGUGCAAGAAAAGAGAAUUCCACAAGCAAAACUCAAAAAGUGUAGCUACACAAGGAAAAAUGAAGAUUCCAAGUAGCCAGAUGAAUGCAUGUGCAAUAUGACCUCUGCUAGCAAAAUGAUGUCUCACUCCCAUUCUCAGAUUGAUAGAGUCGGCAAAGAAGGAAUAAUGCUGGGCAGCUUUGAAAAAGGCGUACAAGUCUGCAGCUCCAGCAGCACCCUACUGCACAAGUUACAAGCUCAGUGUUAACAGGAUAAUACGCAGAGCAUCCAGUAUCCAGCAGGAGCACAGGUACAGAACUUGACCUGAAUGUUAGCAUAAUUACUUGAAACGCUCUUGUAGUUCAAGACCGUCCCCUUCAGACAUCAUGAGAAGCCCAACUGUUCUAAAGAGCCGUGAGGGCAACAUUAAUUGCCAUACAUUUAUUAAGCAAGCAGGAGCGUGUGCAGCCAAAAAGGUGUCAUGAACAGGACAUCAUGCUGCUCCCCAGUGAUUCAGCACAGAUCUGGAGGGUUGGCUAUUAUGAGGUGAAACACAGUUUAAAUCCUUUCCUCUGGGUAGGGGGGUAUGGUUUGACCACAGCCAUGCUAAUACAACACUCAGACAGAAAAUUUAGCACACAGCUAUAGCAUGUGAGCUUGGGUGGUCUUUGGAAGAUCUGGUUCCCUAAAUGAGUAAACUACACAGUGAUCUGGAAGUGAUUCUGGAAGCUGAAACGCAGUCACCUGUUUUCAUAGCUUUUGCUAGCUAUGAAAGAAACUUUCCUCGGAUCACACUGCCAUCACAAACAGUCAUUCCCAGCAUGAAGAAAAAAAACCUCAGAAAUUUCAGCUGGGAAUGAUGUUGUGUUGCUCUCGAAAUGUGGGUAGUUUCAUUUGCAGAUGCACAGUGUCACACAAAGCAAUUGCAGAGGAAGUAAUUGCCUACAGAGAUAAAACUGCAGUAUUUGAUGCCUUGUGGUGUGUAUGUCAGUGAAGUAAGAGGUACGUAUCAUACCUGCUUUUUUGAUUGUACUAUGCUGGGCUCUGCCAUAAAAUAAGAACAGCAUGGCAGAGCCUGAGGAAAUGGUACAACCAAAAGCAGGUGUGUGUGGUAUGCCUUCAAUGACAGGCAAGUCACAUGCUGCCCAGCAAUGCAAACAGCCAGGGGAAGAGCUUGCAAAAUGUAGCCUUUGCUCAAGUACUUCAUGCUGCUUCAGGUGUGUUCCAGUAGCAGAGAGCACUCUAUCAAGUGUAAUCACCUGAGGUGGAGCCUCAGUCUGCUCUCUUAUAAAUACUUGUGAAGCAAGUGCUUCCUCAGGUGAGUUGCCCCACAGUGACAGUAUCUGCCUAGGGACACAAUGCUCAGGGCAGGAAUGGGUUACAGAAUCUUACCUGUAGUCAGCAACCCAUGGACAAGGUUUCCCUGCUUGUUCAAACCAGCACCGCUCCCACCUAACACAGAGUACCUUACUACCUCUGCUCCAGUCAUGGUCCAAAUUUCCCAGCUCUAUGCAAUGGGGAUCAGGAAAUCAUUGCUUUUAUACAGUGCCUACUGCAGUGUAUCACUUCACCUGAGCUGUGCCACUCUUACAACAGAAAAUAUAAGUUCCCAAUCCAUUGAAUGCUGUAACUAGAUUAAAUUUUUGUAUACAUUGUUAUAAAAGUAGAGACUCUCAAGAAAACAAGCAAGAAAACUAGAGCAAAAUCUAGUAACUUAUACUACUAUUCUCAAUGUUAAUUAUGAAAGCCGAUAGGACUUUUCCAAUCCAACCUACCUUCUACUUGAUUGUUUCGCAACUCCAGCUGCUUGGGCAAUAAAACCCACUGGAGACAAAUGUACCAGCACUGCUCUUUCAAAAACUGCCCGUCAAGAGUUGGAAAUUCCUGAGCUGACAUCAGGGGUGAAAAAUUUCAAGUACUCAUUUAGAACCUUACUCUCAUUUAAAAAGCUCUUUUGGGAAACAGACAAACAAACACACACACAGGUUACAUAGAAACACACAAACAUUAGCCUUGUUUGCACAGGCUCUUGCUAUGGAUAUGAAGAGCACCUUCAUAUUUCUUGAAUCUGGCUGAAGAUACCAGCUAAAACAGCACUCAUUAGGCACCUAAAUCCACUUUCCAAAGCAAACUGUUUGACACCCCAAAUUUCUGUCUAAAAUUGGAGAUUAACAUCUGCUUCAGAUAAUUUUCUGAUGGGUAUUCAAUAGUUGUUAAAGGCAUUUAAAGACAGUAAAAUGAUAAACUUAAGGUGGGAUAUAUUUUUAAGUCACCCACUUUUCAAACAUUCAAGAAAAUAUCCUUUCCAGCCACAUUCCAUCAGAAAGCAAAAAGCAAAUCCACUUUGGAAUAAACCCAGGCAAUUUGCACUUUCUAAUCCCAAAUCCCUGAAUUAUCUCAGUCCUUUAACUGUGUCAAAUCUGAAACGUAUUAAGCCAGGCUAAUAAUUCUGUUCACCUCGCAGGGAGAAAGCUAAAGAGUCCUUGGGACAGCCUGCCUCUUGUAUGGGCUAUGUCCUGUGUGGUGGCAUUUGGGAUGCCCAGGCACAGGUAGCAUUUCUCAGCACACGGAGGACCUCUGAGGAUGCUCCAUGAUUUGGGCAUGUGCGUCAGAUCGGAUGCACUCUCUUAUGCAUAAUGGAGCACAGAAAAAUUGGAAAGCACUUUCUCCAGAGAGCCUCUGUUUGGCUUUUAAGUGCUGUUGUUUGAACUGCCUUCUGCAGGUCAAAGCAUAUCCACUUCCAGCAGGAAAGUGACUCCUCCACACCUUAGGCUGCACUACUCCGGUUGCUUUGUCUACCACACCUUGGGUAUUCAGAAAAGACUUGCUUUGUCCCCCAGCUGAGAGUUAGCUGUCCCCAUGCUGUCACUUGCAUCCUGACUGUGAGCAGCUCUGCUCCCCAUGCACUAUACCCGGGCAGAGGCUGACACGCUGGCAGCCACUAGAGAUCCCCAGACAAGGCUGCAGGGACAUCGACUUGAAAUUGGGAUGGACCUAUUUAAUGAGGUCACUGAGGUACUAACUAGAAACUAAGCCUGGAACUACAGGUAUUACUCCUGGGAAGACCCAAAACAUCAAAAAUAAAUUAACUCCAUCUAAUGGAGGAGCCAGACCUCCCUCUCCUGUCUCUCGUGGCACUAGAUGUGCCCGCCAGCUUGUGCCUCAAUGCGUACAACUUCCAUCUUUCAGGGAUCUGUUUUCUUGCCUCUGCAAAGCUUCCUCUAGCACAAGAGAAACAGUAAGUACCCAACGAAUGACAGAAGCUCCCAACUUUACCGAGUUAUGGCAAAACUGGCAAACAAAUGUCAUAGAUGGGGAAAUGCUCUGUUCACUUCCCACGGCAUAAGGCUGGGGAGUAAGAGGUCUGGGAUGUGUAUAGGGCAUAAGUAAUACAACAAACAAGCAAACAAACAAACAACAACAAAAAACCAACUUGUUCUGGAAUUAUGUUCUUGUUCAGAGUAUCCUUUCCACUGCUUACACGGCCUCCAAGGUGAUGACGGAGCCUCAGUGUUUU
ensembl:lncRNA